rnacentral:rRNA from 1 species
AUUGAACGCUGGCGGCAUGCCUUACACAUGCAAGUCGAACGGCAGCAUGGAGAGCUUGCUCUCUGAUGGCGAGUGGCGAACGGGUGAGUAAUGCAUCGGAACGUACCGUGUAAUGGGGGAUAACGUAGCGAAAGUUACGCUAAUACCGCAUACGACCUGAGGGUGAAAGCAGGGGAUCGCAAGACCUUGCGUUAUACGAGCGGCCGAUGUCAGAUUAGCUAGUUGGUGAGGUAAAGGCUCACCAAGGCGACGAUCUGUAGCGGGUCUGAGAGGAUGGUCCGCCACACUGGGACUGAGACACGGCCCAGACUCCUACGGGAGGCAGCAGUGGGGAAUUUUAGACAAUGGGGGCAACCCUGAUCCAGCCAUGCCGCGUGAGUGAAGAAGGCCUUCGGGUUGUAAAGCUCUUUCGGCCGGGAAGAAAUCGCACAGGCUAAUACUCUGUGUGGAUGACGGUACCGGCAUAAGAAGCACCGGCUAACUACGUGCCAGCCGCCGCUGUAA